ACGAACGCUGGCGGCGUGCCUAAUACAUGCAAGUUGCGCGAUGAAGAUUGGUGCUUGCACCAAUUUGAAGAGCAGCGAACGGGUGAGUAACGCGUGGGGAAUCUGCCUUUGAGCGGGGGACAACAUUUGGAAACGAAUGCUAAUACCGCAUAACAACUUUAAACAUCAGUUUUAAGUUUGAAAGAUGCAAUUGCAUCACUCAAAGAUGAUCCCGCGUUGUAUUAGCUAGUUGGUGAGGUAAAGGCUCACCAAGGCGAUGAUACAUAGCCGACCUGAGAGGGUGAUCGGCCACAUUGGGACUGAGACACGGCCCAAACUCCUACGGGAGGCAGCAGUAGGGAAUCUUCGGCAAUGGACGAAAGUCUGACCGAGCAACGCCGCGUGAGUGAAGAAGGUUUUCGGAUCGUAAAACUCUGUUGGUAGAGAAGAACGUUGGUGAGAGUGGAAAGCUCAUCAAGUGACGGUAACUACCCAGAAAGGGACGGCUAACUACGUG
rnacentral:rRNA from 1 species